GACGUAGGGCGCGAGCGUUGUCCGGAUUAUUGGGCGUAAAGAGCUCGUAGGCGGCUUGUCGCGUCGACUGUGAAAACCCGCAGCUCAACUGUGGGCUUGCAGCCGAUACGGGCAGGCGUAGAGUUCGGUAGGGGAGACGUGGAAUUCCUGGUGUAGCGGUGAAAUGGACGCAGAUAGUCAGGAGGAACACCGGUGGCGAAAGGCGGAUCUCU
rnacentral:rRNA from 1 species